GCCGGCGUAGCUCAACGGCAGAGCAACCGCCUUGUAAGCGGUAGGUUCCGGGUUCAAGUCCUGGCGCCGGCACCA
rnacentral:tRNA from 4 species